AACGAACGCUGGCGGCAGGCCUAACACAUGCAAGUCGAACGAACCUUCGGGUGAGUGGCGCACGGGUGCGUAACGCGUGGGAAUAUACCCUUGAGUGAGGAAUAGCGUAGAGAAAUUUGCGCUAAUACCUCAUAAUGACUUCGGUCCAAAGAUUUAUCGCUCAAGGAUUAGCCCGCGUCAGAUUAGAUAGUUGGUGAGGUAACGGCUCACCAAGUCGACGAUCUGUAGGGGGUCUGAGAGGAUGAUCCCCCACACUGGUACUGAGACACGGACCAG
rnacentral:rRNA from 1 species